rnacentral:lncRNA from 1 species
GAUUAUAGUAUGAUUACUAGCUUAUGUUUAUAUCAUGACUUGAGAUGAUAUUUUACCACGUUAUGUGAAUGUCUCACAUUUUGGCUAUAAUUAUAUGAUGUUAUCUUGCAAGUUAUUCAAUGAUAUGAACUCAAUUUUCAAUAAAGAUGUAAAAUUGAAAAAGUAUAAUUAUUUUUGAAUUUCUCCACUCACUGAGCUAUCAACUCUUAUAUUUUUCCAUAAUUUUUCCUACAGGUUGCAAUUGAUUCUUUUUAGCUAGAAGAGCCUAAUGAUUUCGAAUUGAGAGCCACACAACAUGUUGAAUAUUAUAACUCAUUUUGAUGAAGGAUGAAGUAAAUAAUUUGGGCCCAUCGCAUUAUGUUUUAUAUAAACAUUUGAUUUUGUUGCAUUUUUUGAAGUAACUCAUAGUCAGCCUUGGGAUAGAUUUGACAUUUAGUCAGCAUCUAUCAUCGGCGCACAUCACGUUCGG